rnacentral:lncRNA from 1 species
CCCCCCCCCCCUUUUAGGUCAGUCAGUGCCCCCUCCCUUAUGAAAAGGUCUGGAUCCGCCACUGUAAACUAAUUGAUAGUAAAUAGCAAAUAUUAUUCAUUUUCGUUUUCCUCCCAAAAUAACCCAAACUGAAACACGUUAAGCAAGGAUGAUACAUGCUAGAACUCAAAAGGACAGCAGAAAGCAAAUUUAUAUACUUUAUUCAUAGUCUUUGUAUGUUCAAAGUACAGAAAAACACAAACCGGAAGUCUAAUCUGACUUAAAGUUUUGUCCAAUGACGGGAAAAUAUCCGGACGCAUUCUUUUUCGUUUUUAUCCCAAAAUAACCCCAACUGAAUGAUCAUAAGAAUGGAUGACAAAUGCGACUAUACAUGUUACCUAUAGGACACAGAGGCAUGAUGAUUAAUUUAUUGUGGAAGGAGGAGAAGCGACACCCAAAAUGAGGUCUUCUCGUUUAAUAGUAUAGAUAUCAUUUCCA